rnacentral:rRNA from 1 species
GUGAGUAGUUCAGAGUUUGAUCCUGGCUCAGGACGAACGCUGGCGGCGCGCCUAACACAUGCAAGUCGAACGGAGACAUCUUUAGCUUGCUUUAGAUGUCUUAGUGGCGGACGGGUGAGUAACACGUGAGCAACCUGCCUUUCAGAGGGGGAUAACGUUUGGAAACGAACGCUAAUACCGCAUAACGUAUACGGACGGCAUCGUCUGUAUACCAAAGGAGCAAUCCGCUGAAAGAUGGGCUCGCGUCCGAUUAGCUAGAUGGUGAGGUAACGGCUCACCAUGGCGACGAUCGGUAGCCGGACUGAGAGGUUGAUCGGCCACAUUGGGACUGAGACACGGCCCAG